GCCUGGUAGCGGGGGAUAACUAUUGGAAACGAUAGCUAAUACCGCAUAAGAGUAGAUGUUGCAUGACAUUUGCUUAAAAGGUAGCAGUUGCAUCACUACCAGAUGGACCUGCGUUGUAUUAGCUAGUUGGUGAGGUAACGGCUCACCAAGGCGACGAUACAUAGCCGACCUGAGAGGGUGAUCGGCCACACUGGGACUGAGACACGGCCCAG
rnacentral:rRNA from 1 species